rnacentral:ncRNA from 1 species
GAGGAAGCCGGUGUGAAUCCGGCGCGGUCCCGCCACUGUGACCGGGCACGACCCGGGAGCCAGACACUC